GCCGGAGCCAGAGCUGUCUGGUCUCUGAGAGACCCCUCUCACAAACCAGGAAGUGAACCAGAGGGUCCCAGACAUAACCACAGGGAGUUCACAUCUCCUCUCCCCAGACUGGAACACAGGCAAACUCGCUUCCUGAUUACUGGCUUAUCUUUUUAUGGGUGGGAAGAGGAAGAGGAAUCAUCGGACCAAAGCGCAGCGUGGGUUGUACUGACAAAUGCAUGCUGAUCCGCUGGCUGGGAGGAGAGGAGUCUGAGUCAUUCACAGGGGGUCCAUCCUACCUUUUUACUGGUGGCAGCAGCUGCAGAGAGGACAAAGGAAGGUUGUAGCUGAGACUGUGGGUGGAGAUGCAGGAACAGAACAUCCAUUACAACUUAUUCAAGAGCAGGAGAAUAUGUCUCCACUCCACAACCAGUCUCAGUAGAUUUGUCACAUGCUUUGUUAACAAUGUGAUCAAUGGAAACAUUGAACAGCCCGAACAUAAUGUCUUAUGCUGCUUUACUUUAGUACUGCUAUUAUUAGCUGCUAUCCCUACUAGAAGAACUUCUGACGCGUCGAGCCGAUCACUCGCUAUUUCUACUAGUAUUCUACUAAAACACUCAUUACCAAUUAAAGAGUCAUUAGAAACACCCAUUUGAGGAAGUGAACACCACUUUAUGUUCGAGAAAAGGUUCUUUCCGAUUAAAGGAUUAACACUGAUUGCAUUAAGCCUCUUAGCCUACACCAAUUCAAAAUCUUCUUAGAGGACCCACAUUUUUUCACUUGACUUCAGAUUAUCACCAUGACUUUUAAAGAUAAGACAUGCUUAAGGAAUUGGGUGCACUUUUUUGCCAGUCUUUGAUUCUGAGCAAUACCUUUUAUAUUUGAAGGACAG
ensembl:lncRNA